rnacentral:rRNA from 1 species
GAUGAACGCUGGCGGCGUGCCUAAUACAUGCAAGUCGAGCGAACAGACGAGGAGCUUGCUCCUCUGACGUUAGCGGCGGACGGGUGAGUAACACGUGGAUAACCUACCUAUAAGACUUGGAUAACUUCGGGAAACCGGAGCUAAUACCGGAUAAUAUAUUGAACCGCAUGGUUCAAUAGUGAAAGACGGUUUUGCUGUCACUUAUAGAUGGAUCCGCGCCGCAUUAGCUAGUUGGUAAGGUAACGGCUUACCAAGGCAACGAUGCGUAGCCGACCUGAGAGGGUGAUCGGCCACACUGGAACUGAGACACGGUCCAGACUCCUACGGGAGGCAGCAGUAGGGAAUCGUCCGCAAUGGGCGAAAGCCUGACGGAGCAACGCCGCGUGAAUGAUGAGGGUCUUCGGAUCGUAGAACUCUGUUAUUAGGGAAGAACAAAUAUGUAAGUACCUAUGCACGUCUUGACGGUACCUAAUCAGAAAGCUACGGCUAACUCCGUG